rnacentral:tRNA from 1 species
GGAAAUGUGGCUUAGUGGUAGAGUACUUGUCUAGCAUGUAUGAAGCCCUGGGUUCGAUUCCUCAAUACCA